rnacentral:rRNA from 1 species
AGCGAACGCUGGCGGCAGGCCUAACACAUGCAAGUCGAACGAGGUCUUCGGACCUAGUGGCGGACGGGUGAGUAACACGUGGGAACGUGCCCUUUGGUACGGAAUAACUCAGGGAAACUUGAGCUAAUACCGUAUGUGCCCUUCGGGGGGAAGAUUUAUCGCCAUUGGAGAGGCCCUCGUCUGAUUAGCUAGUUGGUGAGGUAAUGGCUCACCAAGGCGACGAUCAGUAGCUGGUCUGAGAGGAUGACCAGCCACAUUGGGACUGAGACACGGCCCAAACUCCUACGGGAGGCAGCAGUGGGGAAUCUUGCGCAAUGGGCGAAAGCCUGACGCAGCCAUGCCGCGUGGAUGAUGAAGGUCUUAGGAUUGUAAAAUCCUUUCACCGGUGAAGAUAAUGACUGUAGCCGGAGAAGAAGCCCCGGCUAACUUCGUGCCAGCCGCCGCCGUAAUAC